rnacentral:rRNA from 1 species
AGCGAACGCUGGCGGCAGGCCUAACACAUGCAAGUCGAACGGACCCUUCGGGGUUAGUGGCGGACGGGUGAGUAACACGUGGGAACGUGCCUUUAGGUUCGGAAUAGCUCCUGGAAACGGGUGGUAAUGCCGAAUGUGCCCUUCGGGGGAAAGAUUUAUCGCCUUUAGAGCGGCCCGCGUCUGAUUAGCUAGUUGGUGAGGUAAUGGCUCACCAAGGCAACGAUCAGUAGCUGUCUGAGAGGAUGACCAGCCACAUUGGGACUGAGACACGGCCCAAACUCCGACGGGAGGCAGCAGUGGGGAAUCUUGCGCAAUGGGCGAAAGCCUGACGCAGCCAUGCCGCGUGGAUGAUGAAGGUCUUAGGAUUGUAAAAUUCUUUCACCGGGGACGAUAAUGACGGUACCCGGAGAAGAAGCCCCGGCUAACUUCGUGCCAGCAGCCGCCGUAAUAC